ACCAGGAUGGCCGAGUGGUUAAGGCGUUGCACUCAAGAUGCAAUGGAUUCAAAGUGGGUUCAACUGUACUCCUGGUA
rnacentral:tRNA from 1 species